AUGGCUCUUUCUAGGAAACAAUACUCUUACUCAAAGAUGGAUAAAGAAGAUCCUGAAGAAAUACUUCAUAGAAGAGCACAAUUCUUGAUCUACAAGGUGUUAGAACAAGCGAAUUCUAGAAGAAAACAAUCUUGUCUAAGGAUAAAAAUAUCUAAGUUGAAGGUGAGGAUUGGGAAGAGAUUAAAGAGGCUAAGAAAGAGAAUUAUGUCAAGUGUGGUUGCAACUAGGGUUGGUAUUCAUGGACAUGUUGUGAAUCAAUUGAAAACAUUGAAACGUUUGUUUGGGAGAGAGAAACAAACCCUUUUAACCAUUCCUUCUCUUAUGAUCAAAUAA